rnacentral:rRNA from 1 species
AUUGAACGCUGGCGGCAUGCCUUACACAUGCAAGUCGAACGGUAACAGGUCUUCGGAUGCUGACGAGUGGCGAACGGGUGAGUAAUACAUCGGAACGUGCCCGAUCGUGGGGGAUAACUACUCGAAAGAGUAGCUAAUACCGCAUACGAUCUACGGAUGAAAGCGGGGGAUCUUCGGACCUCGUGCGGACGGAGCGGCCGAUGGCAGAUUAGGUAGUGGGUGGGAUAAAAGCUUACCAAGCCGACGAUCUGUAGCUGGUCUGAGAGGACGACCAGCCACACUGGGACUGAGACACGGCCCAGACUCCUACGGGAGGCAGCAGUGGGGAAUGUUGGACAAUGGGCGAAAGCCUGAUCCAGCAAUGCCGCGUGCAGGAUGAAGGCCUUCGGGUUGUAAACUGCUUUUGUACGGAACGAAAAGACUCCUUCUAAUACAGGGGGUCCAUGACGGUACCGUAAGAAUAAGCACCGGCUAACUACGUGCCAGCAGCCGCGGUAACAC